rnacentral:sRNA from 1 species
CAAUUAAAAAUUAAAAUAUAUUUAUAUAAAAAAUAAAAAAAACACAUUACAUUAAUAAUUAUUAUGCUCAAUAUAGCUCCUGCUCCAUACAUGUCUUGCUUUAUACAGAAGAAAAUUAUAAAAAAAAAUUAAGUGAACAAAAUUGUGAAAUCUUUAAUAAAAAAUAAAGAAAUGUUAAAAACAAAAUUUGUUGUUGUGAUUUUUUCUCAUGUUUUGAAACCUUAAUAGAAGUAUUUGAACAACAACAUUUGAUAAUACAAAUUUAAAAACCACUUGAUAUAAUUAACCUACAACAUCAACAUCCUGCUCUCUCAGUGUCACCACGAAGUUUUGUAGACUUUGGCCGUGAGAAAUUUGUGUGUAUUUGUGAAAUAUAUUCUAUAUAUUUAUAUCAUAUUAAACCACAUUCCAAUUUUCAAACCUAUCUAGUUUCUUGGCAUUAGUCUCAUCCAAUUGCAAUUUUUAAUAAUCUUCAUCAAAUUGAUCUAAGUAUGAGUGACAGAUGUGGAAAUUGAUUUGGAUUCCUAUUUUACAAACCCUCUCCUGUAAAAAAAAAACACAUUUUUGACCCUCAUACCUCUUACGCAACUCAUUGUUAAAUUCAUUCCAUAUAGAACAAUAGGAACAAAUUCCAAAUACUACGUUGCCAGCUUAGAAGCUUUUUUCGUGGGGCUUUGAAAAUUAGUUCCCCAAUAGAUCUAUUAGACGAGUUUAUAAAAUGAAGAGACAGGCCUUUUUGAUGCUUUACACGAUUUUCAUUGCCACAAGGAACAAACAUUUUUUCCUGUUCAAAUUGCUUUUAAUUUUUCUCCCAUUUUCGUAUAUUUUCCUUUCUCUUUUUGGUUUAUUUUGCUCUUAAAGCAUUUUAGGAUGAACUGAACUGGCUUUAAAGUUUUCGUAGUGUAGUAGGUGUCACUCAGGACAGCAUAAUUCCUAUUGAAAUUUUUUAAACAUAGCAGUGAAAAUCCUAACCUCAAUAUCGUCUACAAUCCCAUGCCGUGAAUAGAGCCAAAAUCUCGAUUUAGGGCAAAGCGAAAAAGAUUAUUGAUUUAAAACACUGCCACCAUCUUUAUCAACGUUUAGGAAUGCUGGGAAAUACAAAUUUGAGUAUUGAAAGGGCGUAAAUUUCGAAUCUGAUUUCGGGUAAAAAUACGGAAUUUAUUACCUUCAUCAAUGUCCAACACACAUUACAAUGGACACAGGACCCAGUCUGUAUGCUGAUAACAAGGUUCCAAAGGAAACUUUUUGAAAAUAAGUUUAAAUGAUGACUCCCCACCCAAGCUCUAGCGAAGAAUUUAUCUAACCUCUAUAUUUGCUAAUUAGCCCCCAAGGAUACUACUGAUACGGUUCCAAUGGAAACUUUUUGAAAAUAAGUUUUAAUGGUGACUUUCCAACCCAGCUAUAGCGAAGAAUUUACCUAACCUCUAUAUUUGCUAAUGAGUUCCAAUAGCCAUCUUUCAAAUUAUUGUCUCAUAAUACAUUUUGUGGUACUUAAAGAUAUGAUCUAACCUCAAAUUUUGUUCUGAACUUCCAAAGUAGAAGAAAUAUGCUGUGUUCCAGAACCUACAAGAAUCUACUAUUUUUGCAAUUUGUUUCGAUAUCAUAAAGGGAAAAGCGAUUAUCGCACUGAAAAAUUUUAUUUUCUUGCAGUUCUGGAAUAGACCAAUAGUCUAACCAAAAGCUAGUAAUAACAACCCAUCUCCAAGAUAUGUUAAUGCUAAUUUAAUAUUUCAAAUAAACCCAUAGUGUCAGGAUUGCUGUCCUAUUUUUAUGGAUUUCGAUUUCUGAGUUCUGAUUUGUACUAGGCGAGUUUACAGUUGGCCUGUUCCAGUUUUCCAAUUCCAAUUUCGGUUAUCGUAGAAAAAAAGUUUAUAUUCUUGCUGUUCUGGAACAUUUCUUCCUAUGGCUGGCAAAUUCUAUCGUCUUGACAAAUGCUUGCAAGUUUAUGCUGGGAUACCCCGUGUGUUUAUUUUUCACAUUUUUCUUGCAAAAGAGAAGAAAUCUCCUUACCCUGGCAGAAAUUAACAGCUUGUAAUUUUCUGCAGAAUUAGUAACUAGACGGACCUAAUACUUAUAUUUUUGUAUAGAAAAAACAAAAUCUCCAGAUCGAUCAUUUUUCCCACUUUUCCCUUAAUACUCUCCCCACAAACUAAGACAUGCUCGAAACCAAUAGAAAUUUACUCAAUCCAUGUCUAACAAAUCUUUCUCACCUAUAUUCGAUAUAUUACCCUAAUUUUUUCUGGAAUUAUCAGUUUAGAUUAUAUAUUGACUUGAGAUCGAUGUCUUGUAUUCCAAUUUUUUAGAGUUGAAAGCCUAGUUGUUGUACCAUUUAUGGUUAGCUUGGUUAGCUUUAUAGGGUCGAUCAAAUGGUUAAUGUUGGUGACAUAUACGAAACGUUAGUGACAUAUACGACCCGAAAGAACAUAUCAGACUUAAGGCUUCAUUUCGGAUUGAACAAUCACUUUGAAUUAUGAAUGAUCCCUAAUACAUUCUUCGAUUAUAUAUUGACUUGAGAUCGAUUUCUUGUAUUCCAAUUUCUUAGAGAUGGGGCCUAGUUGUACCAUAUAUGGGUUAGCUUCAUAUUACAAUGAUAAAUGAUGUCUAAUAGAUUCUACGAUUAUAUAUUGACUUGAGAUCGAUGUCUGGUAUUCCAAUUUCUUCGUGGCACAUACAACCCGAAUGCACAUAACAGGCAUAAACAAGGGUCAACAAACGUCAUCAUAUUGCAAUGGGCAAUCACUUUAAAUAAUAAAUGAUCUCUUAUACAUUCUACUUUAUCCAAACACAACACAACUCAUGACAAAUUCUGGAAUAUUUAAUUGUUUACAAACUUUUCCCUUAAAAAUAUUUUUGUCAUAAAAUAGCUGAAAAUUCCCGGGUAUUUAAUCUUUUAAAACCAGUUUUUUAAUUAUUUUCAAGCAAUCCCAGACAAUUCCUAACCUCAAUUUUUAUUUAUUAUUUUUUUUUUUUUCAAAAUAUUAAGAAAUUUCAAAUAGCAAACACAUUAGAAUGGGGAAAAAAAUAUACCAAGCUAAAAUUGUUCUUCUCAGCGGAUUUUUUUGCACAUACAUCUUCCAACUGAGACUACUGACAAUGUAGGUGCGACUCAUCCAAAGCCUGUAUACAAUUUCAAUUUACAUCUACACAGCGACGACCUAGGCCGUCUGACGAGUCCGAAAUGUACCGACAAUGUAUGGGAAGGCUGGAUGAGAGAGAGCGGGUGAUGUUGAGUUGUAGGAUAAUCUCAAAAAUAAAAAAUAACUUAUACCAUAAAUUGUAAACAAUUGAAUUUAUAAAAAAAGGAAA